rnacentral:RNase_P_RNA from 1 species
GGUAGUAAUAGCCUUCAUCGCUUCUUAGGAAGAGGAAAGUCCGGACACCAUAGAGCAACAUAGCGGAUAACAUCCGUCCAUCGUGAGAUGAGGACCAGUGCAACAGAAAGCAAGUACAGUUCGGCUGUAGUGAAACCAGGUAAACUCUAUGUGGUGCAAUGUCAUGUAUACCAAGAACAGGGGCUGCUCGCUCAAUCUUGGGGGGUGGACAGCUUUAACACUUUAGUAAUAAAGUGUAUAGAUAAAUGAUGAAGCUCUUUAUUGAGAACAGGAUCCGGCUUACAAAUUACUACUUGCU